CGGCUGCCACCUCUUUUCACUGUCUCGGUUUUCUCCUACUCCACUGAUCUCCAAACCUCAGCUUCCAUAGCAGAGCUGAUCAAGCAAGAUGAAGAAGCCGAGCUACGUACGAGGUAGAAUUUGAGUGCUUGGAACAGUCCCUCCUCCGUCUCUACGCCAGCCUGAAAUGUUCAAAGCAGUGGAUUAGCUGACCCUGGGAGGGGCAGUCCCCCCAGGGUCACCAAGCCUUCCAGUGACAGACCAUCAAGAAGACAGACGAUCAGAAAACACAGUGAAUACAGGUAACAGUGCGCAAAAUGUUGGCCAGGUACGGAAUCACCCAUUCUCUGGAUUGCAGUGUGGGGCUUUAAAUCCUGUCCUGGUGCUGCCCGUUGGAUUCUUACAAGCCCGCCCUGGGGAUGGGGUUCUUAUCUGUCAUUGGUGACCACUUCACUUCCCAGGAGAGAUCAGGUUAGA